AGCGCGCAGCGGCCGCUUUUAUCGAGCUUUGAAAAUUCUAGAAGGCACCUGCCGGAAGCUCGCCCGUUUUCUAGAACAUUCUAUCAUUUACGUAGUAGUGGAAAUGACGACAUGGAUACACAUGUCUAGAAACAUCGCGAUACCUCGGUGCUGGAAAUUGAGGGAGGCUCAUGCGACAAAUAUCAAAAUUUUGCACAAUAACGCCUGUAUACAUAUAUACAUUAAACACGAGUCUAACGCUGCUUGAUGUUGUAUAUUGCGAGUGAUCGUUGAGGAUGUAAGAAAGGCGAUCAUCGUCGAAUUCUGAUCGAAACGUGCGUGAAAGGACAUUGUUUGGUCGGUAGUGUGUUCGAUGCACGAAGAAGAGGACGAGAUUUAUUAUUUACAAGGAAGUGGAAUGUUUGCCGAAUGUUCCGAGCUGGCUGGGAUCGACGAUUGAUGCUUCGUCCAUUUACGUCGGCUUAAGGAGAGGACCAUCGCAGUGUGAGAGCGUCGUCGCUUUCCAGGCAACCACGUCCGGUAUUUAGCCCAUGUUCCCAAUGGAUUUCGUGAAACGUAAAAAUUCUUCGACUACAAAGAGAAAGCGACAAACGACCGGCAAAGCUUCAUCGGCGAAUAAACAGAAACGGAAAUGGACGUGGUUACAGCGAGUAGGUGCACACGUGGGUAUCACGAGCGUUCGUUACAUCGUCAGGCGGCUCGUGACGACUUUUCCGUCGAGGCGUUAACGCACAGCGAACGUGUUACCUUCCGAGGUACGUACUUGUUGCAAAGUUGUAUCUGAGAACGAAGAAGAAGAAGAAGAUCCGUUUGUAACUGGACAGUUGGGCGCAGAGAAAGAAUUUUGUUUAUGGUGCUGUUGCGGGAUAUGCCGUAGAUUUUACGACGUGGCUCUAUUGAGAUGUAGAUAAGAGAAAGAACGAUUCAUCUUGAACGGCCAGACUAUCGAUAAAUCGGCGCGAUAAUUCUAGAUGAUCGUGUCAGCUCGAUAGGCGGAUCUUCUAAAUUUGCUGCGUAACGUUCUUGCCCUUUCCAUUCAAUUCCGUAUACGUCCAUCGAGUUCGAUCUUUGUCUUUUCGCGAUCGUCUAGGUUUAUCUAGAGCUACUCUCUUGGUCCGCGAUUUGAUAAAUAUUUUAUUCUAUAUAUGUAUUGGAUGAUAAAUAUUUUGUAACUUCAGUGUUCUUGUCAUUCGAUAGAAUUGGAAAGAAACGUUAUAUAUUUUAAAGCAACAAGAUUGAAAGAUAAAAUAGAAAUAGACUAGAGAACAAGAAUAUAAAUUCCUAAAAUAGAGUGCGAGGGAGAAUCCUUCAUAUGGAACAGAGUAGAAAUAAUAAUAUUUGACCCAAUAAAAUACCUGGAAACGGAAGACCAUAUUUUGAAAGGAAAUAGGAUUAUUGUUAUUUAGUAUAACUAAAGGACUAUGGCACAAAAGAACUCUCUUAUUAUAUCUUAUUCACAGAAGCAAGCAUCGUUAUCAUCCAUAGCAUCCUACAAUUCCUUUCCUUCGGACCUCUCAUUACUUCCAUACGAUACCAACGAUCCUAAAUCCAACAUAAUUUGAACAUCAACCACUGUAAUUGUUUACGCAUUCAUGGGAAAUUUAUACGUGCAGAAAUGCACAGAAUGCACAAACACGUUUAAACAUCCGAAUUUCUCGUAAUAUCUAACGGAUGAAACAAUUCGCUGUUCGAAUUCUAUUUAUUUAAUUAUAUUCGCGAAAGUAUGAAGUUCUCUAAAGAUCUUUGGUCAAACGAUUAUCUGAAUACUCUGACUAAACUACGGCGUUUAUGAACUUCUAGCAAACUGAGAUAGACGCAAGGAUGCACAGAAUCCACCGAACAUACAAAACUAUACGAAACAUUCAAGGUACAGUACUCGUUCGAAAAUCUGACACACGAAAAACCUUUUUCCUUAUCUAAUUUCAUUUCUUUUAUUGUACCGAGUUAAAUAAUAAAUUCGCUCGUCUUUCGCUAAUGUAUACAUUUCGAAGAAUAUUAUGGAAAUUCUUUGAGGACUGCAAGAGUACAUUUGUUUGUAUUUUUUGAUGACAGAUAUAUAUUAAAGAAAAACAGUAAAAUAGACAAGUUACUCCUUGAUUGCGUAAAUCUUAUACAAUAGUAAUAGGACUCUACGUUCUAAGCAAACACCCAUAAACUUGUUUCUCGACUUAAUAUUUACAAAAAUAUAAAUUCCCAUAAGUAUACGCGAUCCAACCGCAACACAAUCGUUUCUACAAACCGUGAAAUAUAAGGUGAGAAUGAUCGGGUCAUUCCAGCCGGCGCCUACCUCAAACCACUCUUGCUACAUACCAGAGCGAUAAACUCGUUCCUCCGCAGCCCCACUUCCGAAUUCCAACGCGCUAGGUGCCCGUAAAAAUUCGACCGAUUUAAAUUCAAGCCCCGGCAGCUCGGCUGGCUUGGCCGUCGCGUUUUCACCAGGUAGACGAGUCGGGAUCGAUACGCGUUCUCCCGCUUCCGUAGGAAGUUCGUUUAAAUUAUCAUGAUUAAUGUUUAUCGACAAGCUCAUCAUAGUUGGUGUAUAUAAUACAUCUGGAGCGGCGCGUCUCGUCCUGUGAUUGGCUCGCAUCGAUCGCGGUGCCGCUUCGUCGUUAGCAUGUGAAUGAGGCAGAAGCGAGUCGUUCGAAUUCAGCUGCGCUCGCCAUGGAUAGCGGCGGAGAACACGAGCGGGAGGGAAAGGAAAGGAUAGCGGGAUCCAUCGAUCACCUGCCAUUUGGCUGAAAUAAUUCGAAUGCAAAUGCGCCGCGGAACAGACGACACAGCGGGGAAGAACCUUUACGAGCACGAGUCUCGCGAUGGUCAUCUCUCGUUCCAGGUAAAUCCAGGUCCGAUAGGUGAAAUUAGUACGCCGCACGUGGCCGCGGUCUCGCGUGAUCUCGAUUUCGAACGUUCUUUCGAGAAAUUUUCCUUUUAUCUCCGUCUCAUCGUUAUUUCGUAUCUGAUCUACGUGUCACGUGUUCUACUAUCUGAUGUUUCGGUUUCGGUGGUAAAAGAAAAGCGAGAGAGAAAGUGUGUGUAUGUGUGAGUGAGAGAGAGAGAGAGAGAGAGAGAGAGAGAGAGAGAGAAAGAGCAGCGGCAUCUUGUGUUUGUGUUAUAACGCUCCUUCUGCCAGACUUUGACGCAAAUAGCUCUUCAGCGACGCUCGGUACACAGCAGGUUGGUUGCCUUUGACUGUAUCGGUCGUAUUAGUCUGCAUUAGCUAAAUUAACGUGGUACGUUCGUGGAAUUGAGUAUGAUGGGAGAUGAUCGAGAGAUGAGGGCUGCUGUUUACUUUGCCUUGAUCACGGUGCUUGUGUACAGAUUUUAGGUAAUUAAUGAUUUACAGACGGACUGUACAUGCUCCUUCGUUGAUUGUUACUUGUUGUUCGUUUACAGUUACGAUUCUUUACGAUUCUUUUGUUAUCUUUAUUGAGAUAUGUAUAAUUUUAUGUGCUAGACUAGAUUAGCUGC